rnacentral:rRNA from 1 species
GAUGAACGCUAGCUACAGGCUUAACACAUGCAAGUCGAGGGACGGGCGCACGGGAGAGAUAACCGUAUCCAACCUGCCCUUUAAUCGGGGAAAGCCUUUCGUAAGAAAGCUUAAUACUCGCUGUAAAGGAGUGGGAUGCGUUACAUUAGGUUGUUGGUGAGGUAACGGCGCACGAAGCCUUCGAUGGAUAGGGGUUCGGAGAGGAAGGGACACGAGAUUGGAACUGUGACACGGUCGAAAGUGCUAAGGGAGGGAGCAGUGAGGAAUAUUGGUGAAUGGGCGUUAGCCUGAACCAGCCAAGUAGCGUGAAGGAGGAAGGUGUAGGGGUGGUAAACUUCUUUUAUAUAAGAGUCGGUAUUAGAAGAAUAAGGAUCGGCUAACUACGUGCCAGCAGCCGCGGUAAUAC